CUUUAUUCCAUGUGAAGGAUUUUGGCGCAAGUUUUUAAACAUCCUGUGGCACCCGUGGUGAGGGCCCUUCACUCAGGAACAUUAUAGACCGCACCGUUGGAUGUGACGUUGCCAUGGGUUUGGUUUUGCUGCACCAAAGCACAUCACUAUGCAGUAUCUCUUUUUGCUGGUUUUGUCACCCUGUCAUCAUACCACCCCUCUGAGCUGCUGGAUCCAGAGACUGCAGGGCAGAAAACCCAUUUGCACCUUGGUGGCAUUUCCACAUUUUGACACCAGAAUGCAACUAAAGGAGUUGCUUCUUUCAAAUGCAUAAAAAGAGACCAUUUAUCUUUAAACCUAACUGACAACCAAAACACUUGAGUUAUUGUUAUUUAGAUAAUAUCCUUGUUUUCAGUUUUGAAAUGACCUCUGA